CAGCCUAAGCAAAUGGCCCAGCUGGAGUUGCUGACUGUGGCUCCCAGAAGCUCCCAUAUUUGUUGGGAUCCAGCUCCUGCUGCUUGCCUCGAAUUGCUCAGUUGGAGCAGUGCCUCCCCCACGCUGAGUCCUUCCCGACAUUCCAGCAGCCACCUCCAGCAGCGCUCCCGGGGGCAGGAAUCCCGGGCCAGCUGACACUCUCCCUCCACAGGAGGAACCCUGGACAAGCUGACACUCUCCCUCCACAGGAGGAACCCUGGACAAGCUGACACUCUCCCUCCACAGGAGGAAUCCUGGACGAGCUGACACUCUCCCUCCACAGGAGGAAGCCCCAGAGCAUGGUCUGUGAUGGGAUUCUCUGUGACACAGCUGAAGGGGCAGCCUCUGACACUUUGAAGAAUGGAGCUCAUUUGAAGUAGAGAAGGACAUCAGAAGUGACUGGAGAACAAAACCACACUAAGAUCAGUCAUCUGGAGAUGGAUUAAGACCUGUUUGAAGCUCAGCUGCACACACUAGGGACAGGAGCUGGUAAAGCCAUACAGCCCUUCAAUUUUCUUUGAGCAAUUUGCCUUCAAUCUGACCUCUGUGGCAGAUGGAGUACAGAAUUGAUAGGUUCUGAGCUGAUGAUUCUCCUAGCUGGUGCCAAGCAAAAUCUCCAUUGUUAAAAGAAUUAAAAGAAUCACACAGGAGUUACCAAAAAUUUAAUUCAUUUUUCUUUUAAUUUUGAAUUAAUAAUAUUUUUAUCCUUUAGUAAGAGGUAUUUAUAACACCCUGCCAAAGCAGUGCAAAGCCACAGUUUGUUGAGCCUACCUAGGGCUAUGAUUUAAGAGUACAAAUUCAGUGCAGAGGUAGCUGGGGCUGCAAUUACUCCUACCCAGCCCCAUCUCCUGGGCUGUGUGUGUCAGCUGCUCCUCACAUAUCCCAGGAGCCUGGCACAGGGCAGUCCAGCUUCUUCACAGCCAGGAAGCUGCUUCAGAGCCCAGGCUGGAAGAGAAAGGAAGCCAGCAGAAGGCAGUUUAAAGGUACUGUAGCUCAUCAAUGCUGAUUGAUUGAUGCACUCAUGCAAGUUGGGUCCUGCCAGACUGCUCCCUACUCUUUAUGUGAGGAACUUCAUACCCACAGCAAAUCAAAUUUUACUGCUGCCAUGAAAAGAAAAGGCCUUUCAUAACAAUUUUACUGUUACUAGGUACGUUAGUUGUUGUGAGGUCUAUUUUUCAAUCUCAAAGCAAGAGUCAAAAAUCCUACAGAACAUGUUUCAGAAGUUACUCAAGCACUCUUCAUGCUACUUUAUUAGCCUAUCUGAACAACAAAAA